AUAAAGUUAUACAUCGCCUUUUGUCAAAAGAAAAAAAAAAAACUAAUCAUUGCCGCAACGCAACAGAGCCUUCUCCUUGUUCCUUCCAAGUAUUGCUGCUUCUGGAAUCUCUUCUUCAAUGGCUUCCAAUACUGCUUCCCCUUGCACCGACAAAUCUGUGGCUGCCACAAAUAAAAAGAUGACUAUAAGGUGAUUUGCCAUGCAACAUUUCGCAUAGACUACUUUGAUCCCCACAACGAUGAGCUAUCUGAUCAAGAUUCGUUGUUGCUGCGAGAUAAAUCUUUUUGCCCCAUUUGGGAGAUUUAUAGCCUAAGAAGUAACUCGUGGAGGAAACUUGAUGUCAAUAUAUCUGAUGCUGAAUUGGCGACUUCUCAUCAUAGCAUUCUUCGAGUGUAUAUGGAUGGAGUGUGUCAUUGGGUUUGUGGAUAUUGUGAAGGAGAAAAAUCUAUAAGUAGUUUGGUAUCAUUUGAUUUAAACAAUGAGAUGUUCUUUAUCACACCCUUACCUUCAGACCAUAAAUUGCACUCAACACAAUCAAUGGUGUUAAAUGGCUUCGUUGCUUUGAUCUCUUUACAUGAAAAGACGAAAACUAUUCACAUAUCAAUUUUGGGUGAAGUCGGUGUGAAGGAAUCAUGGAUCAAACUCUUUGUUGUUGAACAACCAUAUGUUGGAUUUCCUACCGGAGUGGGUAUGAAGGGGGAAAUAUUCUUUGAGAAAGAAGAUAAUGAAAUAGUUUGGUUUGAUUUAACUACAAACAUGAUUAAGGAGCUUGGUCUUAAUGAAA